GCAGAAGUCGCCACCUACUGGGUCACCAGGGUCCAAGGCUUGUACUCAACCUGAGGCCAGGCUGUCUGUGCACAGCUCACCACCCCACAAGUUCCCCUAACGCCCAUUCCUUUUUUUUGCCCUCCAUUGAUUUAUAGUUUUAUAGUUUCAAACAGCCAUGGGGAUGAAGGACGACACUUCCUCCCACUACUAAGAAAACCCAACUAAACAAGAAUUUGUACCCCAACAAGAAUCAGCACACAACACAGAGAGUCUAGGAGACUAUGAAGUCCAGGCUCAGAAGACAGGAAAGAGUGAGGGUUACAGGAAGCUGAUAGAUUGAAAGGACCUUGAAAAGCCACAGGCAGUGAUGAAUGGUGAGAAGGAAGUCAUCUUCUGAAAGCCGGGUGUUCACCUUCACAGAAAACAGACAUUCCAGAUCUUAAUCUUGACCUUCUGUCCUCCACAAAUGUGAGAAGCCAAAAUUCUCUUGUUCAAAUUACCAAUGAUUUCUCAGAGCGUUUGUAUUAGAUAACUUUUUGUAUGAUUGCACAUGCUUUUGAUACUUGUAGUCUUCAAGCAUUAAAGACAAGAAUUUACAAUCA
rnacentral:lncRNA from 1 species